rnacentral:rRNA from 1 species
UGAGGAAUAUUGGUCAAUGGGCGCGAGCCUGAACCAGCCAAGUAGCGUGCAGGAAGACGGCCCUAUGGGUUGUAAACUGCUUUUGAAGGGGAAUAACGUGCGCCACGCGUGGYGCAGUGCAUGUACCUUUCGAAUAAGGAUCGGCUAACUCCGUGCCAGCAGCCGCGGUAAUACGGAGGAUCCGAGCGUUAUCCGGAUUUAUUGGGUUUAAAGGGUGCGUAGGCGGAUGAUUAAGUCAGCUGUGAAAUACCGUCGCUCAACGGCGGCACUGCAGUUGAAACUGGUUGUCUUGAGAGUGCAAGAGGCAUGCGGAAUUCAUGGUGUAGCGGUGAAAUGCAUAGAUAUCAUGAAGAACCCCGAUUGCGAAAGCAGCAUGCUGGGGCAUAUCUGACGCUGAGUCACGAAAGUGCGGGUAUCAAACAGGAUUAGAUACCCUGGUAGUCCGCACAGUAAACGAUGAAUACUAGCUGUAGGCGAUAGACGGUCUGCGGCGCAAGCGAAAGCGUUAAGUAUUCCACCUGGGGAGUACGCCGGCAACGGUG